rfam:Tannerella sp. oral taxon BT063 isolate Cell 1/3 contig_2519917807, whole genome shotgun sequence.
GGGGCUGACCGGUUUUGACAGCGGGUAGAAGUGGUUUGUAAGCAUGCAGUGCCUCGUUGGCCAGCACUCAAAUCUCGGCUGAUGAACAAUUAACUGGCGAAGAAUCUUACGCUCUCGCUGCCUGAUUGAAGAACAGUAGGUCAAGGCUUAAUCCUUACACAAGGUGUUUGGACGAGACACCACCCGGAAGCCGUGGCUUCGAGGCCGUCCGAAUCGGUGGUGCAGCAAUUUCGGAGAUAGCCUGAUGGACGUCCCGGACGUCAGGUGAAACUUUAGGGAAUAAGGUUGCGGUUGGUGGCUCUGGUCUUGCCGCAGCACGAAAAUGAAGGCAGAGAUAAGCAUGUAGAAAGCGGAUCAAUUCCUCGUUUGGACGAGAGUUCGACUCUCUCCAGCUCCACCA